rnacentral:rRNA from 1 species
GCGCAUGCAGGUGGUUUUGUUAAGUCAGAUGUGAAAGCCCGGGGCUCAACCUCGGAAUUGCAUUUGAAAACUGGCAAACUAGAGUACUGUAGAGGGGGUAGAAUUUCAGGUGUAGCGGUGAAAUGCGUAGAGAUCUGAAGGAAUACCGGUGGCGAAGGCGGCCCCCUGGACAGAUACUGACACUCAGAUGCGAAAGCGUGGGGAGCAACAGGAUUAGAUACCCUCGGUAG